GGAUAUGAGGGCAAUCUGGCUGUGACAUCUGUCACCUCACGGACUGCAGGGCCCAUUCAGCUCGUCUGACCUGCUAGGCGGGUGUCCUCUUCCUGCCUCACCGCUUCAUGUGCAUCCCUCCCAAAACUGUGUGCUCAGCCGAAGAGAAUGACUUCUCCAAUAAAGGAGGAGCUUUCUGCAGAAAAGGGUAUAUGAGUAACUGCACUCCCCUUCUAGAACCUCCAUACAAGCUCUCAAGGAAGAAGGCAAAGGCAACUUGGGUUUUUUAAAUGGAAAUACAAAUAUAAUUUUAAAAUUAU
ensembl:misc_RNA 7SK 7SK RNA